rnacentral:rRNA from 1 species
GAUGAACGCUAGCUACAGGCUUAACACAUGCAAGUCGAGGGGUAGCAGGGUAGCAAUACCGCUGACGACCGGCGCACGGGUGAGUAACACGUAUCCAACCUUCCCAUAACUCGGGGAUAGCCUUUCGAAAGAAAGAUUAAUACCCGAUAGUACUUUAUUAAGGCAUCUUAAGAAAGUUAAAGAUUUAUUGGUUAUAGAUGGGGAUGCGUUCCAUUAGAUAGUUGGUGAGGUAACGGCUCACCAAGUCUUCGAUGGAUAGGGGUUCUGAGAGGAAGGUCCCCCACAUUGGUACUGAGACACGGACCAAACUCCUACGGGAGGCAGCAGUGAGGAAUAUCGGUCAAUGGGCGAAAGCCUGAACCAGCCAAGUAGCGUGCAGUAUGACGGCCCUAUGGGUUGUAAACUGCUUUUAUACAGGAAUAAAGUUAGCCGCGUGUGGUUAUUUGUAGGUACUGUAUGAAUAAGGACCGGCUAAUUCCGUGCCAGCCGCCGCGGUAA